CCUACGGGGGGCAGCAGUGAGGAAUAUUGGUCAAUGGGCGCGAGCCUGAACCAGCCAAGUAGCGUGAAGGAUGACUGCCCUACGGGUUGUAAACUUCUUUUAUAAAGGAAUAAAGUGAGGCACGUGUGCCUUUUUGUAUGUACUUUAUGAAUAAGGAUCGGCUAACUCCGUGCCAGCAGCCGCGGUAAUACGGAGGAUCCGAGCGUUAUCCGGAUUUAUUGGGUGUAAAGGGAGCGUAGGCGGGACUGCAAGUUGGGUGUCAAAUCUACCGGCUCAACCGGUAGCCGCACUCAAAACUGCAGUUCUUGAGUGAAGUAGAGGCAGGCGGAAUUCCUAGUGUAGCGGUGAAAUGCGUAGAUAUUAGGAGGAACACCGAUUGCGAAGGCAGCUUACUAAACUGCCACUGACAUUGAUGCUCGAAAGUGUGGGUAUCAAACAGGAUUAGAUACCCCUGUAGUC
rnacentral:rRNA from 1 species